UACGAAGGGGGCUAGCGUUGCUCGGAAUCACUGGGCGUAAAGGCGCGUAGGGCGGCCAUUCAAGUCGGGGGUGAAAGCCUGUGGCUCAACCACAGAAUUGCCUUCGAUACUGUUUGGCUUGAGUCUGGUAGAGGUUGGUGGAACUGCGAGUGUAGAGGUGAAAUCGUAGAUAUUCGCAAAGAACACCGGUGGCGAAGGCGGCCAAC
rnacentral:rRNA from 1 species